GUGCCAGCAGCGGCGGUAAUACGGAGGGUGCAAGCGUUAAUCGGAAUUACUGGGCGUAAAGCGCACGCAGGCGGUCUGUCAAGUCGGAUGUGAAAUCCCCGGGCUCAACCCGGGAACUGCAUUCGAAACUGGCAGGCUUGAGUCUCGUAGAGGGGUAGAAUUCCAGGUGUAGCGGUGAAAUGCGUAGAGAUCUGGAGGAAUACCGGUGGCGAAGGCGGCCCCCUGGACAAAGACUGACGCUCAGGUGCGAAAGCGUGGGGAGCAAACAGGAUUAGAUACCCUGGUAGUCCACGCUGUAAACGAUGUCGACUUGGAGUUGUGCCCUUGAGGCGUGGCUUCCGGAGCUAACGCGUUAAGUCGACCGCCUGGGGAGUACGGCCGCAAGGUUAAAAACUCAAAAUGAAUUGACGGGGCCCGCACAAGCGGUGAGCAUGUGG
rnacentral:rRNA from 1 species